AUUGAACGCUGGCGGCAGGCCUAACACAUGCAAGUCGAACGAGUGGCGGACGGGUGAGUAAUGUCUGGGAACCUGCCUGAUGGAGGGGGAUAACUACUGGAAACGGUAGCUAAUACCGCCUACCAUCAGCUGUGCCCAGAUGGGAUUCGCUUGUUGGGGGGGUAACGGCUCACCAAGGCGACGAUCCCUAGCUGGUCUGCGAGGAUGACGAGCCACACUGGAACUGAAACACGGGCCAGACUCGUACGGGAGGCAGCAGUGGGGAAUAUUGCACAAUGGGCGCAAGCCGGAUGCAGCAAUGCCGCGUGUAUGAAGAAGGCCUUCGGGUUGUAAAGUACUUUCAGCGGGGAGGCGUUACCCGCAGAAGAAGCACCGGCUAACUCCGUGCCAGGAGCCGCGGUAAUUC
rnacentral:rRNA from 1 species